GUAGGGAAUAUUGCGCAAUGGGGGAAACCCUGACGCAGCGACGCCGCGUGAGUGAUGAAGGCCUUCUGGUCGUAAAGCUCUGUUGCAGGGGAAUAAAAAAAUGAAGGUACCCUGUGAGGAAGGAUCGGCUAACUUCGUGCCAGCAGCCGCGGUAAGACGAGGGAUCCUAGCGUUGCUCGGAAUCAUUGGGCGUAAAGAGGGCGUAGGUGGCUUGGUAAGUCAGGUGUGAAAGCCCAGGGCUCAACCCUGGAAGUGCAUUUGAUACUGCUGAGCUUGAGUGUCGGAGAGGUUACCGGAAUACCUGGUGUAGUGGUGAAAUACGUAGAUAUCAGGUGGAACACCGGAGGCGAAGGCGGGUAACUGGACGAACACUGACACUGAGGCCCGAAAGCGUGGGGAUCAAACAGGAUUAGAAACCCUGGUAGUCC
rnacentral:rRNA from 1 species